UUCUCUUCAUGAGUCUUACUAUAAUUUUUUUUAGAACAUAAUAGCUUAUGAAAGGUGUAAAGAUGUUUAUUACAUCUAUAAGUGUUAAUCGUGCUUUCAGUUAAAGGAUGAUCAACAUAUGAAUAUUUGAUGAAUAUCUGGACACAUUUCAUAGGCUAUUGUGUUUAAAAAAACAAUUCGGUGUGACAUCAUUGAUAAAAAAAUAUUGGAGUGUUUCUCUUUGUGGUUAGAACUUCACAGCUGAUGAUGUUUGUAAUGUUGUUGCAAUUUCAGGACUUGGAAUACUGAUGAUAGACAAGUUUGCUAGAGUUAUGGAGUCUCUCUGGAUGACACACUGAUGGCAAUUAAAUGCAUCAUAGUCUUGUUCUUUGUUUCUGAUUUGCUAUUAGGAAUUAAAUGUAUAAAAGCAAGUAAAAAGCAUUGCAUUAGAAUGAAAACAAUAGAAGGAUAGUUUAGUUGUAAGGAAAAAGAAAAGCUGCAGGUUUUGUGUUGUGAUUCUAUUUUGGAAUCAGGAUUCUCAAGCUCAAAGUGAUAUCUCUAAUAAAAUCUUCAUUUUCUUUGUGGUUA